rnacentral:rRNA from 1 species
UACGGAGGGUGCAAGCGUUGUCCGGAAUCACUGGGCGUAAAGGGCGCGUAGGCGGCUCAUGAAGGCUGUGGUGAAAGUCCGGGGCUCAACCUCGGAUCGGCCGUGGCGACUCGUGGGCUGGAGCACUGUAGAGGCGGGUGGAAUUCCGGUGUAGCGGUGGAAUGCGUAGAGAUCCGGAAGAACACCAGUGGCGAAGGCGGCCCGCUGGGCAGUGGCUGACGCUGAGGCGCGACAGCGUGGGGAGCAAACAGG